AGGGUAAUAACUCAGUGGUAGAGUGCUCGCUUCGCAGGGAUUUUCGUCCGGAACAUGCGAGAAACCCAGGGUUCAACCCCGGAGCAUAUUUCUCUU